AUUGUGACCCUUCAUUUCAUCCUAAAAGAGUAGAGGGGUGAGAGUGGGUAUAAAGAGGUGAGGGGGAAGCGUGCCACAGCAACAGGCCAGUGAUUAGUGAAUCGAGGUGAGGAGAGAUUGAUUGGCAGAUGGAGUCAAGCGGCCGAAAGGACGGGUGGAAAUAGCAAGAAAGACAGUGAGGCGAUAGGUGAAGGCAACAAAAGGUUAUAGAUGAUAGAAUCUGAUAGGAAAGGAAGGUGGGCCAUGGAACCAAAUAAUGGAGGUGGGAACAACAUGGGGAGAGAAUCCAGCAGGAGGUUACAGAGGUGAUGAGCAGAUAGAAUAGGUGGGUGAGCCGAGAGAAACGGGGAGAUGCGGGUGUAUGUACAUUAUACGUAUGAUGUUGUGCACGUUGGUCCAGAGGAACGUUGUUUCAUUUGGCAGUAUACAUGUGUACAGUUGAGUGACAUUAAACUGAACACGAGCAUGAACUUAGAUAGAGAGCAAAGGAUAGGUUGGAUAGAUGAGACUGUGCGAGGGAGAUGGGAGUGAAAAGAGAAGAGGAGGGGAGCAGACUACCCUGAAACUGGAGAAUACAAAAUUCCUGCUGCUGGAUGGCAGACUACACAGACAGAAUAUCAGAUCUGGCUGACCGAAGAUAAGGAAUAUCAGCGCAUGAUUUUCAACAUGGUCAGAAACACAGGAACAGGACCGACCAAGUUUCAGCUUAGUUUUUCAGUGUGAGCUUCCAUAAUAUACUUCUGUUCAGAGUUUCAUUCCAAAGUUGGGCACUUCAGACAUGGAAAUGGUUUUAAGGAUCCAGCAUCACAUUGAUUUUCCAACCAAAGCCCAUGAAAAUUUCAAAGUUUCGAAGUACAUUUAUUAUCAAAGAAUGUGCAUCAUUGAGAUUUGUUUGCUUAUGGGCAGCCAGAAAGCAAGAGACCCAAUGGAACCUAAUUGAAAAACAUGAAAUGAAGACCAGCACCCGAUGCACAAAGAAAGGGGAAAAACACAAAUCCUGCAAACAAUAGAAGCGAGUAUCAACAUUUUGAACCAAAAUGAGUCCUUGGAUCUGAACCCCAGAGCAGCCUGGAGUAGGCACGAAGUCUCGGUAGCAGUACAUCAUAUUUCUGGGUACGGUUCACAGCAGCCGGGGCAGUCUUCAUAACCUCAGUGCCAUGGAGAGAGGAGUGACAUUGGGCGAGUGAGUGAAAUCAGCUUUCGCCUCCGAUCCUGACACCCUGUCUUUCCAGUCUAUCUGGGCUGACGUUUAAAUUGUCCAAAUAGCAUAUCCUACAUCACACCAGAACUAGGAAAAUGUCCAGAUUAUGUGAAAUGAAGAGCAGCAUUAAUGUUCUACUUGGUAAUGUUCCUUCGCUUCUACUGCUGGGUAACUGGAUCAUCAAAGAUUAAGAAUCAAAUUGCACAAGAACAAUAUACAGCAAGUGCUAAAAAAAAUCAUAAAAUAAAACUGCUACGAUGAUUCGGGUAGUAUUUGUAGACAGCGAAAAUGAAUUAAAAUUCAUGUUGAAGUAUCAUCAAGCAGAAAUAUUACCAUCACAGAUGCUGCCUAUGCAGCUGAGAAAUUAGGUCAAUGUAAUCUACGGAUACCGUUGGUGUAAUUGAGAUUUCAAUAAUAUUUGAAUAACCUUGUGUGUGUAUAUGUAUAUAGGUUGAUUAAGCAUCCUUGUUUGUUUAAAUAAUUAAUUACAGGUUAUAUGUAAAAAUAUGUUAAUUGCACAUGUCAUCAUAUACCACGUGAUAUGUGCACGCCUUGCUUAAAGUAAACC